rnacentral:ncRNA from 1 species
UGAGUGUUUGUUUCCGGCACUGUGUUAGCUCUUUCCGGAGUUAUACAUGUUACUAAAUGGGAGUAGAGAGUUUGGGUGUCGUUUUUUUCUUCCUUUAAAAGAAAGUUGAGGGUGAUGGCUCAAUUAAAAUCAGAGUAGGCUUUAUGACUUUGAGAUAAAUUCCUCUGCGUCAGUGAUUAAGAUUGGCAUAAUAUCCCGGAGAUGGGUAGCUAGUCAUGAUGGAAAAGAGAAGGAGACAAUAAAGUGCCAGCAUCUGCGGUUAAACUUUGCCUUCUAGUUAAUACGUUCUUGUGGUUGGGCGGCGAGGUAUAUUGAACAGGAUUUUGGAUCAUAUCGGUGAAAUGGGUGAUUCAUAAGAUUUCAGGGUUCUUACAUCGUUAGCUCGGAAGGCUGUUACAGAAACGGGGAUUAGAUACCCCCUUAUUAAUGCUGAACUAGGAAUCCAUGGGGAGUACGAGCUUUUGCUUAAAAUCUAAGGAAGUUGGCGGUAAUUUCAUAUCAUGUGAGGGGAACUUGGCGGUUAAUUCGAUAAUCCUCGAGGACUUUACCUUCUGUAUUCUUAGCCUACCGCCGUUGUCAGUAACCUUUUUGAUAAUAUAGAGGGUUGCUAGGGAUAUAAGGUUGUGUUUAACUGAUCUAUUCGAAUUCAGGUAAGGGUGCUGGUUAUCAGGAGGGCUUAGCUGAGUUACAAUUAUACAAUAAAACGGAAGUGGGCUUGAAACAGCUUAUUGAAGGUGUACUUCACAGUAAUGUUUUUUAUUAAAGAAGCGUGAACGGGUUCUGGAUUGUGUACAAAUCGCCCGGCACCCCUGUAUAGUUCAAAAUCUGGGUAAGUCGUAACAUAGUAAUGCUACCAUAAGGUGGCUUUAAAUAAU